rnacentral:rRNA from 1 species
UACGUAGGGGGCUAGCGUUGUCCGGAAUCAUUGGGCGUAAAGCGCGCGUAGGCGGUCAGGUAAGCCCGGUGUGAAAGUCAAAGGCUCAACCUUUGAAUGCCGCUGGAUACUGCUUGACUUGAGUCCGGAAGGGGCGAGUGGAAUUCCUGGUGUAGCGGUGAAAUGCGCAGAUAUCAGGAGGAACACCAAUGGCGAAGGCAGCUCGCUGGAACGGUACUGACGCUGAGGCGCGAAAGCGUGGGGAGCAAACAGA